GAUGAACGCGGGCGGCGUGCCUAAUACAUGCAAGUCGAGCGAACAGAUGAGGAGCUCGCUCCUCUGACGUUAGCGGCGGACGGGUGAGUAACACGUGGAUAACCUCCCUAUAAGACUGGGAUAACUUCGGGAAACCGGAGCUAAUACCGGAUAAUAUAUUGAACCGCAUGGUUCAAUAGUGAAAGACGGUUUUGCUGUCACUUAUAGAUGGAUCCGCGCCGCAUUAGCUAGUUGGUAAGGUAACGGCUUACCAAGGCAACGAUGCGUAGCCGACCUGAGAGGGUGAUCGGCCACACUGGAACUGAGACACGGUCCAGACUCCUACGGGAGGCAGCAGUAGGGAAUCUUCCGCAAUGGGCGAAAGCCUGACGGAGCAACGCCGCGUGAGUGAUGAAGGUCUUCGGAUCGUAAAACUCUGUUAUUAGGGAAGAACAAAUGUGUAAGUAACUAUGCACGUCUUGACGGUACCUAAUCAGAAAGCCACGGCUAACUACGUG
rnacentral:rRNA from 1 species